rnacentral:lncRNA from 1 species
GGCAGGCUUCGGCAGCCGAAAGGCUUGCCUCCCCAGCCAUGUUCGGCGGCCGAAAGUCCUUCGGCUGCCGAACCUGGUUUCUGCCAAAGGGAAGAAACUUGGCUCCUUUUGCACAUUUCGCCUCCAAACCUUCCAAACAUGCAUCAAACCUAUUCUACAACACACAAACACAAGCAUACAUGUUCCUAGGGGCCACAAAUCAUCAUAAACCCCAUCUACAACACAUCAAGCAUCCACAUUGUUCAUGAGUAUACAUUUAUACCCAUAAACAUAACUAUAACCUAAACAUGCAUUCUACCCCCAUAGAUCUACUUAAAACUUACUUAAAACAUACAAUGAGCUUAAGAUCGGCUCUUACCUCUUGAAGAUAGAGAGAGAGACGACCAAAAACUCGGAGGUGGGAGAGAUUGGGUUCUUGAACCUCCAAGCUCCAAAACUUUGCUCAAAAGCUCAAAUCUUCAAAACAAAGUUAAAACAAAUGAAAAACUUGAAAGAUCUAGAGGGAAAACAUCAAAGAUCGGUGAGGGACGGCGGAGAGCUCACCUUGGCCGAAAAUGGGGAAAAAGCUCGCCCGUUUUCGGCUAAGGGACCCUUUUAUAGUGGUUGUCCAGGCCACGUUCGGGGGCCGAAUGUGCCUCCGCAUGCAUGCCAUGUUCGGCGGCCGAACUUGAGGUUCGGCGGCCGAACCAGGACUUCCCUCACU